rnacentral:lncRNA from 10 species
AGGAGUAUGGACUCUGGAGUCAUAGGGCUGGAAUGCAAAUCUCAGCUCUAUCGUUUACCAGCUGUGCAACUUGGGCAAGUUACUCUCUAUUACUCUGUUUCCACAUCGGACCCUACAUGGCAAAAGGCUUGGCAGACGUGACAAAGUGAAGAGUCUUGAGAUGGGGAGAUGAUCCUGCAUUGUCUGGAUGGGCUGGGUGUGGUCGUGACAGUUUUCAUAAGAGGGCUGCAGGACUACACUUUCUUCCUGAGAGGGUUCCUAACUUCUCUGAAGUCAAGUUGAGCGUCCACAUCUAAAGCCCCAGGAUGAGCCUCCUGGUGGAGGAGAGUGCUCCUGCCUCUCCUGCCUCUCUUUAUGGAUUGUAUGUCAAGGAGACACCCGCAAGGACUCUGGUGGCCUGGACAUACUUCUGGAAGACUGACUCUUCCAGACUGAUGAAACCAAAGCCCACAGCUAGCACCAACUUGCCAGCCAUGUGAGUGAAUCAUCGUGGAAAUGAUAUCUGCCAGCCCUGGCCAAAAUGCCCCAGCUGAUGCCACAUAAAGCAAAAAUUAGCAGUUGCCACCAAGCCCUGCCUAAAUUGCAAAAUCGUUGAGAUGUUUCCCAAAAUGCCUCACAAAUAUUCUGGGAUGUCACCUUUUGCAAUGGAUCUGCAGGUUCCAUCGUGCCCUAGCUUUUUGCCUGAGGGGAGGCUCUGGCCAUGGGUCCCUUUUCAGGUCAGCAAGAGUGCCGUGCAGAGCAGGAGCCCCAUCCAAUGCUCUACAGCUCUGGACUCCUGCCAAUCCUCCCUUGGCCAAGGCCUCCAGAAGUCAGAGAGCGAGGGAACAUAUGAACUAUCUAUCCUGGUCUACUGUCAAUCUCCUUCCACUGAAAUAUCAGCUCCACAAGGCUAGUGGUGUCAUGGAUUUGCUCACUGCUGUAGGUGCCUAGUGAAUAUUUGCUGGAAAUGGAAUACAUGGGU